rnacentral:rRNA from 1 species
UAUUGGGCGUAAGCGCGCGCAGGUGGUUCCUUAAGUCUGAUGUGAAAGCCCACGGCUCAACCGUGGAGGGUCAUUGGAAACUGGGGAACUUGAGUGCAGAAGAGGAAAGUGGAAUUCCACGUGUAGCGGUGAAAUGCGUAGAGAUGUGGAGGAACACCAGUGGCGAAGGCGACUUUCUGGUCUGUAACUGACACUGAGGCGCGAAAGCGUGGGGAGCGAACAGGAUUAGAUACCCUGGUAGUCCACGCCGUAAACGAUGAGUGCUAAGUGUUAGAGGGUUUCCGCCCUUUAGUGCUGCAGCUAACGCAUUAAGCACUCCGCCUGGGGAGUACGGCCGCAAGGCUGAAACUCAAAGGAAUUGACGGGGGCCCGCACAAGCUGUGGAGCAUGUGGUUUAAUUCGAAGCAACGCGAAGAACCUUACCAGGUCUUGACAUCCUCUGACAACCCUAGAGAUAGGGCCUUCCCUUUCGGGGGACAGAGUGACAGGUGGUGCAUGGUUGUCGUCAGCUCGUGUCGUGAGAUGUUGGGUUAAGUCCCGCAACGAGCGCAACCCUUGAUCUUAGUUGCCAGCAUUCAGUUGGGCACUCUAAGGUGACUGCCGGUGACAAACCGGAGGAAGGUGGGGAUGACGUCAAAUCAUCAUGCCCCUUAUGACCUGGGCUACACACGUGCUACAAUGGAUGGUACAAAGAGCCCGCAAACCCGCGAGGGCAAGCUAAUCUCAUAAAGCCAUUCUCAGUUCGGAUUGCAGGCUGCAACUCGCCUGCAUGAAGCCGGAAUCGCUAGUAAUCGCGGAUCAGCAUGCCGCG